rnacentral:rRNA from 1 species
UACGUAGGGGGCAAGCGUUGUCCGGAAUCAUUGGGCGUAAAGCGCGCGUAGGCGGCCCGGUAAGUCCGUUGUGAAAGUCAAAGGCUCAACCUUUGAACGCCGAUGGAUACUGCCGGGCUAGAGUCCGGAAGAGGCGAGUGGAAUUCCUGGUGUAGCGGUGGAAUGCGCAGAUAUCAGGAGGAACACCAAUAGCGAAGGCAGCUCGCUGGGACGGUACUGACGCUGAGGCGCGAAAGCUAGGGUAGCAAACGGG